rnacentral:rRNA from 1 species
AUGAUGGAGGUGGCAGUGGAGAGCCCGCAGCCAGCGGCGUGGGACCACUUCAAGGAGAAGGUGGAGAUCAUGGAGGAGGAGAACGGUGGUGCUUCCGCAGCCGCAGCCGCAGCCGCCGCCGCCGCUGCUGCAGGGGAGCUGCUGACCAGGGAGAUCAAGAAGAGGUUGCUGAACCACGCCCAUGAGAAUGGGAAUGGCCAUGGCCAUGUCAAUGGAGGAGGACCAGAGGAGCUCAAGGUUGUUCCCGAGGAGGAGGACAAGGUGGAGGAGGCUCCUGAAGAGCCCAAGGUUGCUGAAGAGGAGCAGAAGUCGCACCUGCAGCAGACUAUCUUCUUCGAUGCAGCCAAAGGGUUAUGGAAGUGCCGGCACUGCGAUUGGACGUACCGCCUGACUAGUCUGUGCGAAAAUGGUACCGUAGAUCAUCGAGGCUAUCGUCACCAAAUCGAGCAGAAUCUCGAAUCGUUGGUUGAGAAAAAGGAUCGUUUUACGGUUCACCGAACAAAGCCUCCUCAAGCAGAGGAGGAGAAGGAGGAGGAGGAGGUUGCCGAAGAGGAGCAGGAGUGGCACAGGAGUAUCUUCUUCGAUGCAGCCAAAGGACUAUGGAAGUGCCGACACUGUGAUUGGACGUACCGCUUGGCUAGUCCGUGCAGAAAUCAUACCGUAGAUCGUCGAGGCUUAUUAAAACCAGAGCAUUUGGCAGUUGAAUCAUAUUCGGAGAACCAAGCUGCUGAAGAUCCAGUGAUGAUGCCACUGCAGUCCGAGAUGCAGAACUCCAACGAUACAACCACUAAAAUUGAAUCUCGCACAUAUGCUCGUCAUAGUCAUGGCACAGUUGUAAAACCAGUGCAUUCGAUAACCGAAUCAUCGUCGGAAGAUCAGAACACGACAACCACCACAACUACAAUCACAUCGGCAACAGCUACCACAUCCUCUACAACCACAUCAGCAGAAGCGACAACUCACUCAUCGUCUUCUAUAGGAAUCUUUCACGCAGAAGUAAUUGAAUGGAUGACAGAUGGCAUGCCUCCCCUCAAGCCUGCUGAUGAAGUUAUCAUGGAUGCAACUCACCACCUACAUGGACAUGAAGAUGUUCAUGGAACUACGACGACAACGUUCGAGAAUGGCUCAGUUACCACUCAUGUAAGUCACACAACAGAACUCAAGGUCGAUUGCCCGAAUGUGACCACUACCGCGAGGGGCGAUUUACCAACCUCGCCGAUUCCUCAAGCAGAAGAUCAACCUUAUGUAGCAGUGUCAGUCCCUGAAGAUGUGAAUCCUGCUGCUCCUAGCCCCCAACAGAGUGAUGACUGGGAUAUACCAAAAGCCAUAGUGUAUGGUGGCUUAGUGGAGUCAGUCACCAGCCUCUCCGUUGUUUCAGCAGCAGCAUCAAGUGGAGCAAAAACAUUGGACAUAUUCAUCUUGGGCAUAGCCAACCUUAUGGGAGGGCUUCCUCUCAUUUUCCACAAUAUUGCCGAUCUAAGAGACAUUCGAGAUGUGAAUGAGGACAACGAGCGCGUCGGCCACUACUGGUUGCAGCUCGGAAGGCGGUCGAAAGCCCGACUCCACAUGAUCCUGGCCCUGCUCUCAUACAUCGUGUUCGGGCUACUUCCACCAAUCCUCUACGGUCUGUCAUUCCGUGAGAGCAAUGACAGGGAGAACAAGAUGAUGGCCGUCGCCGGUGCUUCACUCGCCUGCAUCGCUCUGCUAGCACUUGGAAAGGCGCAUGUCAAGGAAGCACCCAGGACAUACUUCAAGACCCUAAUGUACUACCUGACAGUCGCUGUGAGCUCGUCGGGGCUGUCGUACGUCGCCGGCGUGCUGAUCACGCGGCUCCUGGUGCACUUUGAAAUUAUCGAGCAAGGUGGGUCGGCUGCUCCUCCUUCUCUGGGCCUGUCACUCCCUCAUUCUGUGGGUGCACAAACAUCUGCCUGGGCCUCAUUCUGA